CGACCGGCGCACGGGUGAGUAACGCGUAUCCAACCUGCCCUUCACCACGGGAUAACCCGGCGAAAGUCGGACUAAUACCGUAUGUUGUCCAUUGACGGCAUCCGAUUUGGACGAAAGGCUUGGCGGUGAGGGAUGGGGAUGCGUCCGAUUAGCCAGACGGCGGGGUAACGGCCCACCGUGGCGACGAUCGGUAGGGGUUCUGAGAGGAAGGUCCCCCACACUGGAACUGAGACACGGUCCAGACUCCUACGGGAGGCAGCAGUGAGGAAUAUUGGUCAAUGGGCGUAAGCCUGAACCAGCCAAGUAGCGUGCAGGACGACGGCCCUAUGGGUUGUAAACUGCUUUUAUGCGGGGAUAAAGUGGCCCACGUGUGGGUUUUUGCAGGUACCGCAUGAAUAAGGACCGGCUAAUUCCGUGCCAGCAGCCGCGGUAAUACGGAAGGUCCGGGCGUUAUCCGGAUUUAUUGGGUUUAAAGGGAGCGUAGGCCGCGCCUUAAGCGUGUUGUGAAAUCCGGGUGCUCAACAUCCGGCUUGCAGCGCGAACUGGGGCGCUUGAGUGCGCAGAAAGUAGGCGGAAUUCGUGGUGUAGCGGUGAAAUGCUUAGAUAUCACGAGGAACUCCGAUUGCGAAGGCAGCCUACUGUAGCGCUACUGACGCUGAUGCUCGAAAGCGUGGGUAUCGAACAGGAUUAGAUACCCUGGUAGUCCACGCGGUAAACGAUGGAUGCUCGUUGUCGGCCCUUUGGGUCGGUGACCAAGCGAAAGCGUUAAGCAUCCCACCUGGGGAGUACGCCGGCAACGGUGAAACUCAAAGGAAUUGACGGG
rnacentral:rRNA from 1 species